rnacentral:rRNA from 1 species
UACGUAGGGAGCAAGCGUUAUCCGGAUUUAUUGGGUGUAAAGGGUGCGUAGAUGGGCAAGCAAGUUGGUUGUGAAAUACCCAGGCUUAACUUGGGAACUGCAACCAAAACUACUAGUCUUGAGUACUGGAGGGGAAAGCGGAAUUUCUAGUGUAGCGGUGAAAUGCGUAGAUAUUAGGAAGAACACCGGUGGCGAAGGCGGCUUUCUGGACAGCAACUGACAUUGAGGCACGAAAGUGUGGGGAGCAAAC